CGCACGCGCAGCGGGGAAGGUGUGAGUCGUGAACGGCCCGGGUCUCCGCCAUGGCCUCUCUACUCGCCAAGGACGCCUACCUGCAGAGCCUGGCCAAGAAGAUCUGCUCCCAUUCGGGCCCGGAGCAGCAGGCACGCACGUGGGCUGGCAAAACUCAAGGCUCAGAAACUGCAGGGCCCUCAAAAAAGAAAAGGAAGAAAACACAAAAUAAAUUCCGGAAGCAGGAAGAGAAGGCUGCUGAGCACAAGGCCAAGUCCUUGGGGGAGAAAUCUCCAGCAGUUUCUGGGGCCAGGAGGCCUGAGGCAGCCAAAGAGGAAGCAGCUUGGGCUUCCAGCUCAGCAGGGAACCCUGCAGAUGGCCUAGCUACUGAGCCUGAGUCUGUCUUUGCUCUGGAUGUUCUGCGACAGCGACUGCAUGAGAAGAUCCAGGAGGCCCGGGGCCAGGGCAGUGCUAAGGAGCUGUCCCCUGCCGCCCUGGAGAAAAGGCGGCGGAGAAAGCAGGAACGGCACCGGAAGAAGAGGAAGCGAAAGGGGCUGCGGGCGAAAGAGAAGGCCAGGAAGGCUGAGGAGGCCGCCGAGGCCCAGGAGGCGGUGGAGCCAACCCCAGAGGGGGCCUGCACGGAGCCGCGGGAGCCGCCCGGGCUGAUCUUCAAUAAGGUGGACGUGAGCGAAGACGAGCCGGCCAGCAAGGCACAGCGCAGAAAAAGAGAAGAGGCAGAGGGUGAAGGGGAACCUCACGCUGCUGACCGGGAGGAACUACCGGCAGCUGCUGGAGCGCCUGCAGGCACAGCAGAGCCGGCUGGACGAGCUGCGCGGCCAGGAUGUGGGGAAGGCGCAGGAGUUGGAGGCGAAGAUGAAAUGGACCAACCGCCUCUACAAGGCGGAGGGUGUGAAGAUCCGCGACGACGAACGCCUGCUGAGGAGGCCCUGAAGCGCAAGGAGAAGCGCAGGGCGCAGCGGCAGCGCCGGUGGGGGAAGCGCACGGCCGGCGUGGUGGAGAAGAUGCAGCAGCGCCAGGACCGGCGGCGGCAGAACCUGCGCAGGAAGAAGGCGGCCGGCGCCGAGCGCCGCCUGCUCAGAGCCCGCAAGAAGGGUCGUAUCCUGCCGCAGGACCUGGAGCGCUCAGGCCUGGUCUGAGUCUUUCCCACCUGGGGCUGCCGUCUUCGUCCUAGGAAACUCCAGGGCACCCUCUGAGUCCUUGACGCUGGCGCUGUCCCAGGAUCUCCACAGACCUCGGCCCCUCCAUGU